rnacentral:rRNA from 1 species
UGGGGAAUAUUGGACAAUGGGGGCAACCCUGAUCCAGCCAUGCCGCGUGAGUGAUGAAGGCCUUCGGGUUGUAAAGCUCUUUUGGCGGGGACGAUGAUGACGGUACCCGCAGAAUAAGCCCCGGCUAACUUCGUGCCAGCAGCCGCGGUAAGACGAAGGGGGCAAGCGUUGUUCGGAAUUACUGGGCGUAAAGGGCGCGUAGGCGGUUUGCUUAGUCAGGCGUGAAAGCCCUGGGCUUAACCUGGGAUGUGCGCUUGAUACUGGCAGGCUUGAGUACAGUUGAGGUAGGCGGAAUGUGUCAUGUAGCGGUGAAAUGCUUAGAUAUGACACAGAACACCGAUUGCGAAGGCAGCUUGCUAAGCUGUAACUGACGCUGAGGCACGAAAGCGUGGGGAGCAAACA